rnacentral:lncRNA from 1 species
CCGAAACGUGAUUAAUGUGACUGAGGAACUGAACUUUUAGUUUCAUUGUGACAUGAUGAAUGAAUUUAUUGAGCCCCAGGAAGAAGGAAAAUUAAAGAAGAGCAAAGAAUAAUAGCUGGACAGAAGAUGGGGGUCAUUGAACCUAUAUCCUAGUUGCCAGACCAGUAAACUGACCACGGGACCUGGGGGAGGCAGCAGAUGACCGAAAACCUGGAGUGAUGUGGCUGAAUACCGCAUGAUCUGAAGACUGCACUGGUGGCUGCGGUAUGGGUCCAAAUU